rnacentral:rRNA from 1 species
UGCCAGCAGCCGCGGUAAUACUGAAGGUGCAAGCGUUAAUCGGAAUCACUGGGCGUAAAGCGCUCGUAGGUGGCUUUGUAAGUCAGAUGUGAAAUCUCCGAGCUCAACUCGGAAACUGCAUUGGAUACUACCUAGCUAGAGGAUUGGAAGGGGAACUGGAAUUCUUGGUGUAGCGGUGAAAUGCGUAGAUAUCGAGAGGAACACCAGUGGCGAAGGCGAGUUCCUGGACAAUUCCUGACACUGAGGCACGAAAGCUAGGGUAGCAAACAGGAUUAGAUA